rnacentral:rRNA from 1 species
AGUGAACGCUGGCGGCAGGCCUAACACAUGCAAGUCGAACGGCAGCACAGUAAGAGCUUGCUCUUACGGGUGGCGAGUGGCGGACGGGUGAGGAAUACAUCGGAAUCUACUUUUUCGUGGGGGAUAACGUAGGGAAACUUACGCUACUACCGCAUACGACCUACGGGUGAAAGCAGGGGAUCUUCGGACCUUGCGCGAUUGAUUGAGCCGAUGUCGGAUUAGCUAGUUGGCGGGGUAAAGGCCCACCAAGGCGACGAUCCGUAGCUGGUCUGAGAGGAUGAUCAGCCACACUGGAACUGAGACACGGUCCAGACUCCUACGGGAGGCAGCAGUGGGGAAUAUUGGACAAUGGGCGAAAGCCUGAUCCAGCCAUACCGCGUGGGUGAAGAAGGCCUUCGGAUUGUAAAGCCCUUUUGUUGGGAAAGAAAAGCAGCAGGUUAAUACCCCGCUGUUCUGACGGUACCCAAAGAAUAAGCACCGGCUAACUUCGUG